UGGGGAAUUUUCCGCAAUGGGCGAAAGCCUGACGGAGCAACGCCGCGUGAGGGAGGAAGGCUUUUGGGUUGUAAACCUCUUUUCUCAAGGAAGAUUUCAGACGGUACUUGAGGAAUCAGCAUCGGCUAACUCCGUGCCAGCAGCCGCGGUAAUACGGAGGGAGCUAGCGUUGUUCGGAAUUACUGGGCGUAAAGCGCGCGUAGGCGGCUAUUCAAGUCAGGGGUGAAAUCCCGGGGCUCAACCCCGGAACUGCCCUUGAAACUAGGUAGCUAGAAUACUGGAGAGGUGAGUGGAAUUCCGAGUGUAGAGGUGAAAUUCGUAGAUAUUCGGAAGAACACCAGUGGCGAAGGCGACUCACUGGACAGUCAUUGACGCUGAGGUGCGAAAGCGUGGGGAGCAAACAGGAUUAGAUACCCCGGUAGUCC
rnacentral:rRNA from 1 species